rfam:Beta vulgaris subsp. vulgaris chromosome 5, whole genome shotgun sequence.
UGGUAAUGAUUAGUAACUUAUCCGCGCUUCCGAGAUUUAUUCGAUGAAGUGUAGGAUUAAAAUGGUUGAAUUUCUUGAUAUGAGCCA